AUUGAACGCUGGCGGCAGGCCUAACACAUGCAAGUCGAGCGGGGUUUUCGGACCUAGCGGCGGACGGGUGAGUAAUGCGUAGGAAGCUGCCCGAUAGAGGGGGAUACCAGUUGGAAACGACUGUUAAUACCGCAUAACGUCUACGGACCAAAGUGUGGGACCUUCGGGCCACAUGCUAUCGGAUGCGCCUACGUGGGAUUAGCUAGUUGGUGAGGUAAUGGCUCACCAAGGCGACGAUCUCUAGCUGGUUUGAGAGGAUGAUCAGCCACACUGGAACUGAGACACGGUCCAGACUCCUACGGGAGGCAGCAGUGGGGAAUAUUGGACAAUGGGCGCAAGCCUGAUCCAGCCAUGCCGCGUGUGUGAAGAAGGCCUUCGGGUUGUAAAGCACUUUCAGCGAGGAGGAAGGGUUAGUCGUUAAUAGCGGCUAAUUUUGACGUUACUCGCAGAAGAAGCACCGGCUAACUCUGUGCCAGCAGCCGCGGUAAUAC
rnacentral:rRNA from 1 species